rnacentral:rRNA from 1 species
CCCUUAGAUGUUCUGGGCCGCACGCGCGCUACACUGAUCAGUGCAACAAGCAUCCGUCCUUGGCCGACAGGCCCGGGCAAUCUUUGAACGCUGAUCGUGAUGGGGAUAGACUUUUGCAAUUUUUGGUCUUCAACGAGGAAUUCCUAGUAAACGCAAGUCAUCAACUUGCAUUGAUUACGUCCCUGCCCUUUGUACACACCGUCCGUCGCACCUACCGAUUGAAUGGUCCGGUGAAGCCUCCGGAUUGGCGUGCACCCUCGGGUGCUGCCGAGAAGUUGGCUAAACCUUACCAUUUAGAGGAAGGUGAAGUCGUAACA